CUGGAGGUGAUGCAGAUAUGUGUUACGUGAAAUCCAUAUGAUGUCUUUGUAUUCAUACUGUCUGAUCCAG